rnacentral:rRNA from 1 species
AGUUGGUAAGGUAAUAGCUUACCAAGGCUACGAUCAAUAGCUGAUCUGAGAGGAUGAUCAGCCACAUUGGGACUGAGACACGGCCCAAACUCCUACGGGAGGCAGCAGUGGGGAAUCUUGCACAAUGGGGGAAACCCUGAUGCAGCGAUGCCGCGUGAGUGAAGAAGGCCCUUGGGUUGUAAAGCUCUUUCGUCGGGGAAGAAAAUGACUGUACCCGAAUAAGAAGGUCCGGCUAACUUCGUGCCAGCAGCCGCGGUAAUACGAAGGGACCUAGCGUAGUUCGGAAUUACUGGGCUUAAAGAGCUCGUAGGUGGUUAGAAAAGUUAGUGGUGAAAUCCCAAGGCUUAACCUUGGAACUGCCACUAAAACUUUUUAACUAGAGUGUGAUAGAGGAAAGUGGAAUUUCUAGUGUAGAGGUGAAAUUCGUAGAUAUUAGAAAGAACACCAAUUGCGAAGGCAACUUUCUGGAUCAUUACUGACACUGAGGAGCGAAAGCAUGGGUAGCGAAGAGGAUUAGAUACCCUCGUAGUCCAUGCUGUAAACGAUGUGUGUUAGACGUUGGAAACUUAGUUUUCAGUGUCGCAGCAAAAGCGUUAAACACACCGCCUGGGGAGUACGACCGCAAGGUUAAAACUCAAAUGAAUUGACGGGGACCCGCACAAGUAGUGGGGCAUGUGGUUUAAUUCGAAGAUACGCGCAGAACCUUACCAACACUUGACAUGUCUGUCGCGGACCUAAGAGAUUAGGUUCUUCAUUCAGUUGGACAGAACACAGGUGCUGCAUGGCUGUCGUCAGCUCGUGUCGUGAGAUGUUGGGUUAAGCCCCGCAACGAGCGCAACCCUUACUUUUAGUUGCUACCAUUUAGUUGGGCACUCUAAAAGAACUGCCAGUGAUAAGCUGGAGGAAGGUGGGGAUGACGUCAA